rnacentral:rRNA from 1 species
GACGAACGCUGGCGGCGUGCCUAAUACAUGCAAGUCGAACGCUGAAGGAGGAGCUUGCUUCUCUGGAUGAGUUGCGAACGGGUGAGUAACGCGUAGGUAACCUGCCUGGUAGCGGGGGAUAACUAUUGGAAACGAUAGCUAAUACCGCAUAAUAGUAGAUGUUGCAUGACAUUUGCUUAAAAGGUGCAAUUGCAUCACUACCAGAUGGACCUGCGUUGUAUUAGCUAGUUGGUGGGGUAACGGCUCACCAAGGCGACGAUACAUAGCCGACCUGAGAGGGUGAUCGGCCACACUGGGACUGAGACACGGCCCAGACUCCUACGGGAGGCAGCAGUAGGGAAUCUUCAGCAAUGGACGGAAGUCUGACCGAGCAACGCCGCGUGAGUGAAGAAGGUUUUCGGAUCGUAAAGCUCUGUUGUAAGAGAAGAACGAGUGUGAGAGUGGAAAGUUCACACUGUGACGGUAUCUUACCAGAAAGGGACGGCUAACUACGUG